rnacentral:rRNA from 1 species
UACGAAGGGGGGCUAGCGUUGCUCGGAAUCACUGGGCGUAAAGCGCACGUAGGCGGAUUGUUAAGUCAGGGGUGAAAUCCCGGAGCUCAACUCCAGAACUGCCUUUGAUACUGGCGAUCUUGAGUCCGGGAGAGGUGAGUGGAACUGCGAGUGUAGAGGUGAAAUUCGUAGAUAUUCGCAAGAACACCAGUGGCGAAGGCGGCUCACUGGCCCGGUACUGACGCUGAGGUGCGAAAGCGUGGGGAGCAAACAGG